rnacentral:rRNA from 1 species
UGGAGCGUGUGGUUUAAUUCGAUGCAACGCGAAGAACCUUACCUGGGCUCGAACGGCUCACGAAAGCGCCUGGAAACAGGUGUUUCCCGCAAGGGACGGGAGUCGAGGUGCUGCAUGGCUGUCGUCAGCUCGUGUCGUGAGAUGUUGGGUUAAGUCCCGCAACGAGCGCAACCCUUGCCCUGUGUUGCCACUCCGAAAGGAAGCACUCUCAGGGGACCGCCAGCGAUAAGCUGGAGGAAGGUGGGGAUGACGUCAAGUCAGCAUGGCCUUUAUAUCUUGGGA